GAAAAUUUCUUUGUAAAAUUCUUUCAGGAUAUUUCCAAAUGCAGUUUGAUUGUAGAGCAGCUGUAGACGCUUUUGAAUGCGUAGACUCCCUAUUCUCUACUUGUAGCCAUGACGUCAGAGAUGUUUACAGGGGUUUAAUUGAGACUUUCAUGGAAGAAUCUCAAUGUUU